rnacentral:rRNA from 1 species
GACGAACGCUGGCGGCGUGCUUAACACAUGCAAGUCGAACGCUGAAGCUCAGCUUGCUGGGUGGAUGAGUGGCGAACGGGUGAGUAACACGUGAGUAACCUGCCCUCUUCUUUGGGAUAACGCCCGGAAACGGGUGCUAAUACUGGAUAUUCACUGAUUCUCGCAUGGGGGUUGGUGGAAAGGUUUUUUCUGGUGGGGGAUGGGCUCGCGGCCUAUCAGCUUGUUGGUGGGGUGAUGGCCUACCAAGGCUUUGACGGGUAGCCGGCCUGAGAGGGUGACCGGUCACAUUGGGACUGAGAUACGGCCCAGACUACUACGGGAGGCAGCAGUGGGGAAUAUUGCACAAUGGGCGAAAGCCUGAUGCAGCGACGCCGCGUGAGGGAUGGAGGCCUUCGGGUUGUAAACCUCUUUCGCUCAUGGUCAAGCCGCAGCUUUGGGUUGUGGUGAGGGUAGUGGGUAAAGAAGCGCCGGCUAACUACGUG